rnacentral:rRNA from 1 species
ACGGGUGAGUAAUGUCUGGGAAACGUGCCUGAUGGAGGGGGAUAACUACUGGAAACGGUAGCUAAUACCGCAUAACGUCGCAAGACCAAGAGGGGACCUUCGGGCCUCUUGCCAUCGGAUGUGCCCAGAUGGGAUUAGCUAGUAGGUGGGGUAACGGCUCACCUAGGCGACGAUCCCUAGCUGGUCUGAGAGGAUGACCAGCCACACUGGAACUGAGACACGGUCCAG